GUGUUCACUUCAGCAUCACAUCUACUAAAAUUGGAUGAUACAGGGAAGAUUAGAUGGCCCUUCACAAGGAUAACAUGCAAAUUCAGAAAGCAUUCCAUAAAAAA
ensembl:snRNA U6 U6 spliceosomal RNA